GGCCCGUGGAGAGAGUCUGCUCAUUGGCCGAGAGGAGGGAAGGAGAAGACUAGGCGAUAGAGGAGUCACUGGGGUCUCCUGGGAAUGGUUAAUAUUUGAAGCAUAUAAGGUUUAUUUUUGAGGCCUCUGUGUGUUUGUUCAGUGGCUAAUGAGUAGAACUGGCAGCAGGCGGGCAGCUCAGUGGUCGUAGUAAACGGGAGCUAUGUUACCUUCACUGCAUUUAGGAGCGCCCGGUGAGGAGAGCUGAUGUACGUAGUGGUGGACUAUUGUUGUCGGCUGUAUCGACUCAACCAUUCAGAGCCUGGCACUCAUGGACAUGACCCUGGGCCAAGAACAUGUUUGACAUACUCAGACACGACAGACUUCUUCCAGAUGAGGUUUCAGAUGGAGACUCUGACAUCAUCAAAUCUGUCGUUCUGCCCCUGAACAGGCAGUUAACCCACUGUUCCUAGGCCGUCAUUGAAAAUAAGAAUUUGUUCUUAACUGACUUGCCUAGUUAAAUAAAGGUCAAAUAAAUUUUUAAAAUCAUUGGAGGACAAGAGGGAAGGAGACCAAGUACCGAUGACCUGUGUUGAGAGCCGGGUUUACCAACAUCAGCAAAUCAAUAUUUUUUAUACCAGAGUAUUUCUUGAAUUACGGUGACAUUUGGGUAUGGUGUAAUUAAAAGCAAGAUUCUUUCAA